rnacentral:tRNA from 1 species
GGAGGUGGCUCAAGUGGUAAUGUGCUCGCCUAGCAUUCGAGGGGCGCUGGGUUCAAUCCUCAGCACCA